rnacentral:rRNA from 1 species
AUUGAACGCUGGCGGCAUGCUUUACACAUGCAAGUCGAACGGUAACAGGCCGCAAGGUGCUGACGAGUGGCGAACGGGUGAGUAAUGCAUCGGAACGUGCCCAGUCGUGGGGGAUAACGCAGCGAAAGCUGCGCUAAUACCGCAUACGAUCUAUGGAUGAAAGCGGGGGACCGUAAGGCCUCGCGCGAUUGGAGCGGCCGAUGUCAGAUUAGGUAGUUGGUGGGGUAAAGGCUCACCAAGCCAACGAUCUGUAGCUGGUCUGAGAGGACGACCAGCCAAACUGGGACUGGGACACGGCCCAGACUCCUACGGGAGGCAGCAGUGGGGAAUUUUGGACAAUGGGCGCAAGCCUGAUCCAGCAAUGCCGCGUGCAGGAAGAAGGCCUUCGGGUUGUAAACUGCUUUUGUACGGAACGAAACGGCUCUGGUUAAUACCUGGGGCUAAUGACGGUACCGUAAGAAUAAGCACCGGCUAACUACGUGCCAGCCGCCGCCGUAAAAC